AUUGAACGCUGGCGGCAAGCCUAACACAUGCAAGUCGAACGAGUGGCGGACGGGUGAGUAAUGUCUGGGAAACUGCCUGAUGGAGGGGGUUAACAACUGGAAACGGUAGCUAAUACCGCAUACCAUCGGAUGUGCCCAGAUGGGAUUAGCUUGUAGUUUGGGUAAAGGCUCACCUAGGCGACGAUCCCUAGCUGGUCUGAGAGGAUGACCAGCCACACUGGAACUGAGACACGGUCCAGACUCCUACGGUAGGCAGCAGUGGGGAAUGUGGCACAAUGGGCGCAAGCCGGAUGCAGCCAUGCCGCGGGUAUGAAGAAGGCCUUCGGGUUGUAAAGUACUUUCAGCGGGGAGGCGUUACCCGCAGAAGAAGCACCGGCUAACUCCGUGCCAGCAGCCGCGGUAAUAC
rnacentral:rRNA from 1 species